rnacentral:rRNA from 1 species
CCUAACACAUGCAAGUCGAGCGGAUGAAGGGRGCUUGCUCCUGGAUUCAGCGGCGGACGGGUGAGUAAUGCCUAGGAAUCUGCCUGGUAGUGGGGGAUAACGUCCGGAAACGGGCGCUAAUACCGCAUACGUCCUGAGGGAGAAAGUGGGGGAUCUUCGGACCUCACGCUAUCAGAUGAGCCUAGGUCGGAUUAGCUAGUUGGUGGGGUAAAGGCCUACCAAGGCGACGAUCCGUAACUGGUCUGAGAGGAUGAUCAGUCACACUGGAACUGAGACACGGUCCAGACUCCUACGGGAGGCAGCAGUGGGGAAUAUUGGACAAUGGGCGAAAGCCUGAUCCAGCCAUGCCGCGUGUGUGAAGAAGGUCUUCGGAUUGUAAAGCACUUUAAGUUGGGAGGAAGGGCAGUAAGUUAAUACCUUGCUGUUUUGACGUUACCAACAGAAUAAGCACCGGCUAACUUCGUGCCAGCAGCCGCGGUAAUACGAAGGGUGCAAGCGUUAAUCGGAAUUACUGGGCGUAAAGCGCGCGUAGGUGGUUCAGCAAGUUGGAUGUGAAAUCCCCGGGCUCAACCUGGGAACUGCAUCCAAAACUACUGAGCUAGAGUACGGUAGAGGGUGGUGGAAUUUCCUGUGUAGCGGUGAAAUGCGUAGAUAUAGGAAGGAACACCAGUGGCGAAGGCGACCACCUGGACUGAUACUGACACUGAGGUGCGAAAGCGUGGGGAGCAAACAGGAUUAGAUACCCUGGUAGUCCACGCCGUAAACGAUGUCGACUAGCCGUUGGGAUCCUUGAGAUCUUAGUGGCGCAGCUAACGCGAUAAGUCGACCGCCUGGGGAGUACGGCCGCAAGGUUAAAACUCAAAUGAAUUGACGGGGGCCCGCACAAGCGGUGAGCAUGUGGUUUAUUCGAAGCAACGCGAAGAACCUUACCUGGCCUUGACAUGCUGAGAACUUUCCAGAAAUGGAUUGGUGCCUUCGGGAACUCAGAACACAGGUGCUGCAUGCUGUCGUCAGCUCGUGUCGUGAGAUGUUGGUAAGUCCCGUAACGAGCGCACCCUUUCCUUAGUUACCAGCACCUUCGGGGACCCUUUAGAACUGCGUGACAACCGAGAGUGGGAUGACGUCAGUCAUCAUGCUACGUCAGGCUCCCACCUGCUCAAUGUCGGUCAAGGGUGCUAUCCCAAGGGGAACUAAUUCUCA